rnacentral:rRNA from 1 species
GGACCCGCACAAGUAGUGGAGCAUGUGGUUUAAUUCGAUGCAACGCGAAGAACCUUACCAGGGUUUGACAUCCUGCGAAUCUCUUGGAAACAGGAGAGUGCCUUCGGGAACGCAGUGACAGGUGGUGCAUGGCUGUCGUCAGCUCGUGUCGUGAGAUGUUGGUUAAGUCCCGCAACGAGCGCAACCCACGUCUUUAGUUGCCAGCAUUUAGUUGGGCACUCUAGAGAGACCGCCGGUGACAAACCGGAGGAAGGUGUGGAUGACGUCAAGUCAUCAUGCCCCUUACGUCCUGGCUACACACGUACUACAAUGCUACGGACAAAGGGCAGCAAGUUCGCGAGGAC